GCAGGAAAUUGCUACACAGUUCCAGCUGACCAUGGACUAAAAACUCUAAAACCUUGAAACAAAACAAAACCUCUCUGGCUUUUAAAUUCUUUCUCUCAGGUUAUCAUGAGAGGACCUGCCUCUGCCACUCCAAACUCCACCAGAGUAGGAACGCUACCAGAUAGAGAAGGGCAGCCGUCCAGGGGAGCGGAGCAGCCGUCCGUCCAGGGGAGCGGAGCAGCCGUCCGUCCAGGGGAGCGGGGCAGCCGUCCGUCCAGGGGAGCGGAGCAGCCGUCCAGGGGAGCGGAGCAGCCGUCCAGGGGAGCGGAGCAGCCGUCCGUCCAGGGGAGCUGAGCAGCCGUCCGUCCAGGGGAGCGGAGCAGCCGUCCAGGGGAGCAGGGCACAUGCGCACUGUACAGCUCACCAUGCACAGCAGCUGGGCUCCUGUCUCCAGCUAGGGCUGCGCUACAGGAAAAUGGAGACUCCCCCAUUUUUUUGUCUUAAAUUUCUUG